rnacentral:rRNA from 1 species
UGGGGAAUUUUGGACAAUGGACGCAAGUCUGAUCCAGCCAUGCCGCGUGAGUGAAGAAGGCCUUCGGGUUGUAAAGCUCUUUUGUCCGGGAGCAAACCUCCGUGGUUAAUACCUGCGGAGCUGAGAGUACCGGAAGAAUAAGCACCGGCUAACUACGUGCCAGCAGCCGCGGUAAUACGUAGGGUGCGAGCGUUAAUCGGAAUUACUGGGCGUAAAGCGUGCGCAGGUGGUUGUGUAAGCCAGAUGUGAAAUCCCCGGGCUUAACCUGGGAAUGGCAUUUGGGACUGCACGGCUAGAGUGUGGCAGAGGGGGGUGGAAUUCCGCGUGUAGCAGUGAAAUGCGUAGAGAUGCGGAGGAACACCGAUGGCGAAGGCAGCCCCCUGGGUUAACACUGACACUCAUGCACGAAAGCGUGGGGAGCAAACAGGAUUAGAUACCCCUGUAGUCC